AUGGAGACGGCUAUCGGUGCUGCCAACUGGCUCGUCGGCAAGGUGUUGGACAAGCUGUCCGACGACCUGGUGGACGCGUAUUUGGCCAGCACCAAGCUCGGCCUCAACUCCGAGAAGGUCAAAAUCAAGCUGAAGCACGUGAAAGGGCUGCUGCACGCGGCCCAAGAGAGGGACGUGAGCAGCAACCUUGGCCUGAAGAGCUUGCUGGAGAACCUGAGCAAGAAGGCCGAUGAGGCUGAGGACGCGCUGGAUGAGCUGCACUACUUCCUGAUCCAGGAUCAGCUCGAUGGCACCAAGGAGGCCAUGCCGGAGCUUGGUGAUGGCCUCCGUGCUCAUGCUCUCCAUUCUCGCCAUGCUGCUCGCCACACAUUCGGUAACUGGCUCUCAUGCUUUUCUUGCUCGCCUACACAUGAUGAUGUUUCUGCUGCUCCUAGUGUUGUUACCAUCAGUAACCAUCACAAUGCAACCAAGUCUGAUUGUGGUAAUGAUGGUGGCUAUGUUGCAAAGAUGAAAUUCAAUAGAGUGGACAUGUCCAAAAAAAUCACGUCAGUGAUAGAGGGCAUACACGAUCUAUGUGAUCCGGUCUCUGACCUGCUGAAUAAAAUCCCAAACCAUACCACAUCUACCACCGUAAAAAGGCCUCUCACGAGCUCAGUGGCUCCACCAGAUAGGUUGUAUGGGAGGGAUGCCACCUUCGAGAAAACCAUAAGUGCACUCACUGGUAGCAGAUAUCAGGGUGAAACACUUUCAGUUAUGCCUUUUGUCGGCCCUGGGGGUAUAGGAAAGACAACUUUCGCCCAACACUUGAGUAAUGAUAAAAGGAUUGAAGAACACUUCAUUGUUAGGGUCUGGGUAUGUGUUUCAAAUGAUUUUGAUGUGCUUAAGCUCACCCAGGAAGUCCUGAGUUGCAUAUGUGAAAAUGGAAAAAAAGAUGAAACCUCCAAUUUGGACAAGCUUCAGAAAUCGAUUGCAGAUAAACUGAAGUCCAAAAGAUUUUUAGUUGUCCUAGAUGAUAUAUGGAGUAUCAAUAGUGAAACCGAGUGGAAGAAAUUAUUGGCCCCAUUCACAAAGGGGGAAACCAAUGGUAGCAUGGUUCUCGUCACAACCCGGUUUCCAUCUAUAGCACAAAAAGUGUGCACAACAGAUAUAGUAGAACUGGAUGGUUUGGAGCCUAAUGACUUCUUGGAAUUAUUUGAAGCAUCAAUAUUUGCUGGUCAUAACAAACCCGGGAACUAUGAUGAUGACUUAAUUGAUGUUGCAAGAGAAAUUGCAAAGAAGCUAAAGGGUUCACCACUAGCAGCCAAUACGGUUGAAAUGCAAAAUCCAAAAUCUUUGCCAAACAACUUUCCAAACCUUUUGCACCUCCGGUACCUUAAACUCAGUUCAUGCUACGAUGAUCCUGAAAUGGAUUUACCUAGCACCUUAUCUGGAUUUUACCACUUGAAAUUCCUGGACCUCAAAGAUUGGUAUGGAGAAGCUUGUGCUGCCGAACUGAAGAACAAAAAGAAUUUGAAAGAGCUGCAAUUAGUUUGGAGUACUGAGCAUCAGACCGCAGAUGAUGAUGUUCUUGACGGUCUUCAACCACACCCUCAUCUUAGGGUGCUUGGCAUUAUAAAUCCUGGUGUUGCCCCUUGCCCUAGAUGGUUGUGUGGUGACAUUAGCAUAAAACACCUGGAGUCUCUCCAUCUAGAGGGUAUAUCUUGGGGUACUCUUCCACCUUUUGAGCAUCUACCAUACCUCUCCAACCUCGUUUUGAGUAAUAUUGCUAGGAUGAGUGUCUUUGGGCCUCUCUUUAAUGGUAUUACAGAGAAAAGUUUCAUGAAGUUGAAGAAAAUUGAGUUUGUGAACAUGAGGGAACUUGUGGAGUGGGUCGGUGAACCUAAUAGCCACUUUUUUUCAAGGCUUGAAAGUAUUGGAUUUAGAGAUUGCCCCUUGCUCUCAAGGUUUCCCUUCAUGGAGUGCUCUGAGCGUUUUACCAACUUGCUUAGCCUUGCUAUUGUUAAGUGCCCCAAGAUUUCUCAGCUCCCCCCCAUGCCUCACACCUCCACGCUGGAAAAUAUUACUGUGUCAAAGCGCCAGUCAGCAAUACACGCAGAGAUGAUAUAUUUUGGAACACAUUUGAGUAUUGAAGGGUAUAAUGGUGAUUUGGCUUUCCACAAUCUGGAUAAAAUAGAGAGUCUGAGUAUUUUCGAUGCAUCAAACAUUUCGUUGAUAGACCUCAAAAAGCUAAACUCACUGAGAAGUGUACAUGUCAGCAAAUACGGAAGCAUGUUCUCUCCAGAACUGGAUGCUAGUGUUGCCCUGCAUUCAGUCCAGGAACUUGGCCUAGCAGAAUUAAGUAUUACAGAAGAAGUGUUUUCAAAGGUGUUUAGGUGUUUUCCAGCUCUUUGCAACCUUAGAAUCAUCAAAUGUGAAAUCCUGGAGCGUCUGCAUGUGGAGGAUGAAGAAGAACCAUGCGACCCCACCAUACGCCAAUCAUUUUCUGCAUCGUCGGUGUUGUCUCAGGAGUCCAUGGGAAGCGGUAACACCAUCAAACCUUUCCCAUCUUCCAUCAAGGAACUUGAGAUUCGCGAGGUCUCUGGCUUUAAGUCAAUGGACCUACUCUCCAAUCUCACAUCCCUCACCAGUCUAUGCCUGGAAGAUUGUGAAGAAUUAACAAUGGAUGGAUUCAAUCCUCUCAUCACAGUCAACCUCAAGAAACUGUAUGUCUUCAACAAGACUUCAGCCAAACAGAAGAUCUCAAUAGCAGGGGAUUUGUUGUCAGAGGUAGCAAGGAGCGGAUUAAUGCAGGAAGGAUCAUUCAAAUUGGAAAAACUGGAGGUGGAUAGCAUCUCGGGGGCUCUUGUUGCUCCCAUUUGCAGCCACCUUGCUUCAACCCUCCGUUCAUUAAUAUUCAGUCAUGAUAUGCGAGCGGAGUCCUUCACGGAAGGGCAAGAGCAGGCGCUUCAGUUCCUUACCUCCCUCGAAUUUCUGAUGUUUAAUGAAUGCCGUGAUCUGAAGUCCCUCCCAAGGUGUAAUCGCCUUUCUUCUCUCACGCAAUUGAGAUUCUCUAAGUGUGCAAUUCAAUCGCUGCCACCCAAGGAGGACCUGCCCGCUUCACUGGAGAGCCUAUAUGGAAUAAGUUGCAGUCCUGAGCUAAAAAAGACCAUGAAGAAGCUGCAACGAACAGACCCAUACUUCUCAACAAUAGUAGAUGUAAGUAGAAGCAGAUAUGAAGAAUCGGGAGGUGACAGUAGUUGCAGCAGCUAUGGAUUCUACAAACAGUGCCCUAUUUUGAAUGGAACUAACAGCACUAUGUUAGUAGAUUUUUUACCCCCUUCUAAUGUUGCAAGCUUUUACAUUCACAAAAUAAUAGUCCUUUAUGUUCUUCAUAAUCUCAGGAACAUUCCAGGUUCUGUACUUAACUUCCCUGGAGCAUUGACCAACUUGUUCGGGCAAUCACUGGCCAAUUUGAUAGUCAUUCAGGUUCUCUUCAUAUUUUGUUCAUUGUUGGGGAACCCAAACAUGAAGGGAGUCAUGGACUCAUUGUUUCUGACUAUCAUGACUACUUCGGAUGAUAGGUGCCACAAUUUAACCCAUGAGUGGUUGUGGCUUGUAUGUGCCCACUACAAUUUCGCAAGCACCCCUUCCCCCAUCCUCGCCGCCGUGCUCUGUGCCAUAGGGACGACGAGUGGUGGCACAACCACGUGCACUGCAUCCUCUGGAUACAUUAAGUCACCAGCUUUCGCCGUGUCAUGGAUGUCCGCACGUCGCUGCCAAACAUGUAUUCCGAAACUUGAGACAUGUUAUCUCACGAAGAGCAAUUACUCAAAUUCUGUGGAACAAUUGCAAGAGCCCGACCGGCGCCGGCGCCGGCGGGGCCUUCUCUUCCUCCUCCGCGUGAUGGGGGCGGUGCGGGUUCCUCCAUCAAGGGCGGGCGCGGGGCACCGUGGCGUGGCAGCGCGCAGCCCUCUGGCGGUACGUGGCGCUGCAUGGCAGACGGCGUGGGCGGCGACUGGGGUCCGGCUUUGGGUUGCUGGCAGCUGCGGUGGUUCCUCUCCGUCAUGGGCGUGCGGCGGUGGUGUGGCUCGGCCGGUGGCGGUCCGGCGACCUGGUGGUGGUGGCCGACGGUGCGCAUGGUGGUGGUGCUUCCACUUGGCGGCUCUCUGUGCGGGGAGGCAGGGCAACGGCUUCGACAGGGGCGGCGGAGCCGACCGCGUGCCGGCUGCAGCGCGAAGGCGGGAACUUUACGGGUCUCGGAGAUCUCGGACGGGCCUGUGCGGCCACGGGCCUGGUGUGGCCCUCCCGCGUGCCGAUGGUGCUGCUGCCCUAGUCCCGGCUCCUCUUCUUCAUUGUGCAGACCAUGCUUCACGGUGCCAUGAAAUCCCUGUUGGCUUGCCCGACAUCGACGCGGUGGCGCUUGUUGGUGCCGCCACACCUUCCUGGAGGGCGUCGGGGCUACCCUUCCUCUCUCCUCACCGCGUAGCGAGGGAAACCCUUGGCAGCAGCGUUGUCAUCGCCGCGUCCCUUCUUGGAGGUGUUGAUUGGUACCGGUGCUUCGGAGCCUCGGAGCUUGGUGGGCGAUCUCCGGUUUUCCGUUAUCUGUUGUGGCUCUGUGCUUCCCUACGAGGGAAGCCAAACCCGAAGAAAGUCAUGAUCCAAGUAUACCAAAUUCUCCCGUCAAACCACAAUAAAUUGAAUCUUUUUGCUGCUAGCUACAAAGAGCCUAACCUUCCAUGUAUCUACUUUUCAGUGGAGCGGCAAAUGCUAUGUCCAGACAAGAAAUCCCCUACGCACAAAGCCAUGGCAUUCCGGUCUCUUGACGACUCGGUCGCCCACUGCCAGGCUCUUCCUGCACGCGGAACCAGAAUGAUGCAGGCAACCAUAUCAUUUUCUGAAUUGAUGCCAACUACAUCGUCUCUUUUAUCGGCCUGCCCACUAGCUACGUGGUUUACUACCUGUAGUCCCGACUCCUGCUGGGAAUUCGGCCAGUCCACCUUCAAGCAACAUAAGGAACUAGGAACAGCUACAGGAACAUAUACUCUGAAGCUUAAAGCGGCGCUCCGUUCUGCGUCCUGGACUCUGGGACCCUGUUGUUACCUCACGAACGAACUGAAUCUUUGUACCUCCAAUUUUACGACGGUGCAGCAUCCUCAAUGUCCACUACAUUCUAUGCCCCGCCUCUGCUCCUAUGCCUACUCCAUCUUCUACGCCGACAACCUUGCCAUCCACCUGGGUGACCUGGCCAGCAUCCCCGUUGUAAUUUGGUGCCGACACCGGCCGAGAGCCUGCAGGCAGCAGCUCACCAUCCAUGCCAUAAUGUUCUGCGUCAGCAGCAUACUAGGUUGA
rnacentral:rRNA from 1 species